rnacentral:rRNA from 1 species
GACGAACGCUGGCGGCGUGCCUAAUACAUGCCAGUAGAACGCUGAAGAGAGGAGCUUGCUCUUCUUGGAUGAGUUGCGAACGGGUGAGUAACGCGUAGGUAACCUGCCUGGUAGCGGGGGAUAACUAUUGGAAACGAUAGCUAAUACCGCAUAAAAUUGAUUAUUGCAUGAUAAUUAAUUGAAAGAUGCAACUGCAUCACUACCAGAUGGACCUGCGUUGAAUUAGCUAGUUGGUGAGGUAACGGCUCACCAAGGCGACGAUACAUAGCCGACCUGAGAGGGUGAUCGGCCACACUGGGACUGAGACACGGCCCAGACUCCUACGGGAGGCAGCAGUAGGGAAUCUUCGGCAAUGGGGGGAACCCUGACCGAGCAACGCCGCGUGAGUGAAGAAGGUUUUCGGAUCGUAAAGCUCUGUUGUAAGAGAAGAACGGGUGUGAGAGUGGAAAGUUCACACUGUGACGGUAUCUUACCAGAAAGGGACGGCUAACUACGUG